GGCUCUUUGAUUAUUAAUAGUAUAAGGAGUUGGACCUGCCCAGUGAAAAGUUUUAACGGCCGCGGUACUCUGACCGUGCAAAGGUAGCAUAAUCAUUUGCCUUAUAAUUGAAGGCUUGUAUGAAUGGUUUGACAAGAAUAUGGCUGUCUCUAUUCGAUUUUAUAGAAUUUUAUUUUGAAGUGAAGAAGCUUGAAUUUUAUUAAUAGACAAGAAGACCCUAUCGAGCUUAAAAAUAAUUAAUAAAAGUAUAAAAAUAAAGUUAAGAAAUUAUUUAUUAUAAAUUUUGGUUGGGGCGACCUAGGAACAAAAGAAGCUUCCUAAAUUAAUAUAUAAAACAAUUGAUCCAAGAUGUUUUGAUUAAAGAAAUUAGUUACCGUAGGGAUAACAGCAUUAUCUUUUUUAAGAGUUCAUAUCGAAAAAAAGGUUUGUGACCUCGAUGUUGGACCAGAAUAUCCUAAAGAUGUAGCAGUCUAUAAGGGUUGGUCUGUUCGACCAUUAAAAUUCUACG
rnacentral:rRNA from 1 species